CACGUAGGCACCAAGCGUUGUCCGGAUUUAUUGGGCGUAAAGAGCUCGUAGGCGGUUCGAUAAGUCGGAUGUGAAAAUCCAGGGCUCAACCCUGGACCUGCAUUCGAUACGGGCAGACUAGAGUUCGGCAGGGGAGACUGGAAUUCCUGGUGUAGCGGUGAAAUGCGCAGAUAUCAGGAGGAACACCGGUGGCGAAGGCGGGUCUCUGGGCCGAUACUGACGCUGAGGAGCGAAAGCGUGGGGAGCGAACAGG
rnacentral:rRNA from 1 species